UACGUAGGGUGCGAGCGUUGUCCGGAAUUAUUGGGCGUAAAGAGCUCGUAGGCGGUUUGUCGCGUCGACUGUGAAAACCUACAGCUUAACUGUGGGCUUGCAGUCGAUACGGGCAGACUUGAGUUCGGUAGGGGAGACUGGAAUUCCUGGUGUAGCGGUGAAAUGCGCAGAUAUCAGGAGGAACACCGGUGGCGAAGGCGGGUCUCUGGGCCGAUACUGACGCUCAUGCACGAAAGCGUGGGGAGCAAACAGG
rnacentral:rRNA from 1 species